UUCAGUGUAGUUAUGGUAUUCAUUUAAAAUUCAAAUAAGUUCACACAAAUUAAUUUUUUGUUUUUGAACAAAUUGGUAGAUGUUUAGUAAUACUGUGACAGCUAAAGACAGGGAUGAAAUUAUGGAAAGUUUUCCCUAUGUAUGUAUUUCUCUGUAUAUAUAUUUCCAGGCCUCAAGAACAGCCUAAGAGCCCAAGCGUUUGUUUCUCAGCUGCCCUCUUGUGUACAGUUACUGAGCUGACAGUGACAGCUCUUCUGAGAAACGGGGACAUGACAAGGACGAAGGGAAAGAUAAGAGGCUUGCAACAGCAAAGUGCAAUGGAAAAGGACUGAGCUGACAGUCCAGAAGGACGGAGAAAGGAUAUAGGAUGAAUCAGUAGCUUGAAAAUGGGGAUAUGCCAGAUCCUGGUAUCCAGCAGGCAGUAGCAGCGGAUGGCAAGGAGAGAGAGAACUGUUUAGCACAUCUGAUCGGAAUGUGGCAAGAAGGGUGAGCAGACUUCACAUAAAGAUAAGGAAGAACUUCCUAGUGCUAAGAAAUAUUCAAGCCUGGAACAGGCUGCCUUAGAAAGUAGUGAGGUUUAUAUCUCAAGAGUUCAGGUAGAUUACAGACCUGAAUUUACCCAAGAAAAGAGAAUAGAGGCUUCUAAGCUCUCUUAUAAAUUUGCAGAUAUAACAAUCCCUGCUGCCUAAAAUAUAUUCUAUUUUUAUACAACAUAGUGGUUUUUAAUUUUUGGUUAUUCAUCCCUGUAGAUGGAAAUGAUUAGUUGGCUCAAAAUGACCUAGUUCCUUUGUGGGCUAAAGUCACUGUGACUCUACUACCACCUAGUGGCUGUGUUCUGCACACACAGGAGGACACUUGGGGCAGCCCAUUUCUUGAGGGUUUGAACAUGCAAUUUUCUAGCCCAGAAGCUGGCCCUGUGACAAUCCAAACACUAGUCUAUAAGAUUCGCCCUUGAUUUUCUCGUUCCUUGGAAAACAGAGACAUCCUUUUAUAUGCACUCCUUUUACAACUCAAGUAAGAUAAAAUUUUUAUCUAUCCAUAGCUUUUUCUACAUUUAACUUAUAUAUGACAUUUAAAAAACGGACAAAUUAAGCCUGAAGCUCUUCUGAUUUUUAUUGUCAGAAUGAAAUAUUAUAUAAUGAGUUUAAUCUUCUCAGUGCAAUGAGCAUACAUCACUCAUUCUUUGGAAAUAAUUUACUAUAUUGCCUCUAAGUGGCCACUUAAGAAAUAAUUGCUCCAUUGCACAAAAUGGGCAAUUCACUUCCAAACACCCAAAGGAAGGUUUCAGCAGAGCUUUUAAAAAGCAACAGCUCUGAAACAUACAUCUAUGAGACAUAAUAGUUCACAGAAUAAUAGGAGCUUUUACAUUUUUAGCUAGAUAUGAUUUUAAUAUAAUUUGGAAACCAUAUUAUUGAUGUCUUAUUUUUUUCUUCUAAAUAUUCUAAACUUCAGUUUAAAUAAGGUUCACAUAAAAACAGGAUCUCACAUCUACGUGGUAACUUCAACUCAAAGCAUUCUCAAACUUUUCUGAAUGGAUACAAAUAGUACAUAUUUGAGCAAGUAUAAACCAGGGCAGCAAUACACAGUAUUCUCCAUAAUGCCCUAGAGAGUAUUUAACAUAUUUGUUCAUCAUACAGCUCCAAUCAUAAAAUGAAUGCAAAAAAUCCAAACUAAUGCAACAAAACCCGUGAUCGAGUGAUAUCAAGUCACACAGAAAGCAAGGGUGAGAGGAGGCCUCACAGCUUCUGUGGACAGCAGCCAUAAAAUGGCUCAGUGACCCCCACCUCCUCCUGGGAUUGUGUCCUCGUUAUAAUCCCUUCCUCCGGAGCGAGGGACAGACUUACAGACUCACUUCUAACAAAUAUAAUACAACAGAAGUGGUGGGAUGUUACUCUUCACAUUAGGUAAUAAAAAGACUGUGGCUUUCAUCCUGGGCAUGCACUCCCUUGGACUGCUCACCCUCUGAGAGGCAGCUGCCAUGUUGUGGCAGACAGACUCUGUGAUUCCCACCUCCUGAGACCCAUCCCUUGCUUAGAAAGUACCCCCAAAGCCUUGGGAAGUCAUUUCAGCAGAGUAACACAAUCCAAGUUGUAUUUUAGGAGGAGGAAACUGGUGGUAUUAUGAAGGGCAGACAUGGAAGAGAAAGUGAUUGGGAAGAAGAUGGAGUGGCAUGGAAGGGAUGAAUCUGGGAGUAAUUUUAAAUGGAGAACAGACGGCCUGGCAAAUAGAAAUGGUUUUAAAAAUAAUGAAUGAAAGUAAUUAAACAGUAUUCUAAAAUUCUGAAGCUGGGUGAGUAUGACAUAAUACUAUCAAUAAAAGAAAGGGAAAUAUCUGGAAGGAAAGUAGGUUAGUUGGAUUAUAGACAUGUUCCAAGAUUCAGGCUUUUAUAUAUCCCUGUAAACUGCUAGAACUAUUUUUCUGAAAAUCAUCUUUAAAUUAAAUUACAUCCAGGAAAUUGUAAGUUUGUUGGGCUAGUUAUUUAUAUCUAGCACAUAUUAAAAUAAAAUUAUAAUCUUAGGCCAGGCAUGGUGGCUCAUGCCUGUAGUCCCAGCUACUCAG